rnacentral:rRNA from 1 species
UACGAAGGGUGCAAGCGUUACUCGGAAUUACUGGGCGUAAAGGGUGCGUAGGUGGUUUUUUAAGUCCGUUGUGAAAUCCCUGGGCUCAACCUGGGAAUGGCAGUGGAUACUGGAAAGCUAGAGUGCGGUAGAGGGUAGUGGAAUUCCCGGUGUAGCAGUGAAAUGCGUAGAUAUCCGGAGGAACACCGGUGGCGAAGGCGGCUUCCUGGACCGACACUGACGCUGAGGCGCGAAAGCUAGGGGAGCAAACGGG